rnacentral:rRNA from 1 species
AUUGAACGCUGGCGGCAGGCUUAACACAUGCAAGUCGAGCGAGCGGCGGACGGGUGAGUAAUGUCUGGGAAACUGCCUGCUGGAGGGGGAUAACUACUGGAAACGGUAGCUAAUACCGCAUACCAUCAGAUGUGCCCAGAGGGGAGUAGCUAGUAGGUGGGGUAAUGGCUCACCUCGGCGACGAUCCCUAGCUGGUCGGAGAGGAUGACAAGCCAAACGGGAACAGAGACACGGUCCAGACGCCUACGGGAGGAAGCAGUGGGGAAUAUGGCACAAUGGGAGCAAGCCGGAUGCAGCCAUGCCGCGUGGGUGAAGAAGGCAUUAGGGUUGUAAAGCACUUUCAGCGAGGAGGCGUUACUCGCAGAAGAAGCACCGGCUAACUCCGUGCCAGCAGCCGCGGUAAUAC